GACGAACGCUGGCGGUGUGCUUAACACAUGCAAGUCGAACGAAGCUUGAUUGAAGAUUUCUUCGGAAUGAUUCAUGAUAUGACUGAGUGGCGGACGGGUGAGUAACACGUGAGCAACCUACCCUUAGGAGCGGGAUAGUAUUUGGAAACGAAUAGUAAUACCGCAUAAUAUAUGAUCAUGGCAUCUUGAACAUAUCAAAGAUUUAUCGCCUAAGGAUGGGCUCGCGUCUGAUUAGAUAGUUGGUGGGGUAACGGCCUACCAAGUCGACGAUCAGUAGCCGGACUGAGAGGUUGAACGGCCACAUUGGGACUGAGACACGGCCCAGACUCCUACGGGAGGCAGCAGUGGGGAAUAUUGCACAAUGGGCGCAAGCCUGAUGCAGCAACGCCGCGUGGAGGAAGACGGUUUUCGGAUUGUAAACCUCUGUCCUAGGUGAAGAGAAAGAGACGGUAGCCUAGGAGGAAGCCCCGGCUAACUACGUGCCAGCAGCCGCGGUAAUACGUAGGGGGCGAGCGUUGUCCGGAAUGAUUGGGCGUAAAGGGCGCGUAGGCGGCCCGGUAAGUCUGAAGUGAAAGUCCUGCGUUCAACGUGGGAAUUGCUUUGGAUACUGUCGGGCUUGAGUGCAGGAGAGGUAAGUGGAAUUCCCAGUGUAGCGGUGAAAUGCGUAGAGAUUGGGAGGAACACCAGUGGCGAAGGCGACUUACUGGACUGUAAACUGACGCUGAGGCGCGAAAGUGUGGGGAGCAAACAGGAUUAGAUACCCUGGUAGUCCACACUGUAAACGAUGAAUGCUAGGUGUAGGGGGUAUCGACCCCUUCUGUGCCGCAGUUAACACAAUAAGCAUUCCGCCUGGGGGAGUACGGCCGCAAGGUUGAAACUCAAAGGAAUUGACGGGGGCCCGCACAAGCGGUGGGAGUAUGUGGUUUAAUUCGACGCAACGCGAAGAACCUUACCAGGCCUUGACAUCCCGAUGACGUACCGGUAAUGCGGUAUUCUCUUCGGAGCAUCGGAGACAGGUGGUGCAUGGUUGUCGUCAGCUCGUGUCGUGAGAUGUUGGGUCAAGUCCCGCAACGAGCGCAACCCUUGUCCAUAGUAGCCAGCAGUAAGAUGGGAACUCUAUGGAGACUGCCGGGGACAACCCGGAGGAAGGUGGGGAUGACGUCAAAUCAUCAUGCCCCUUACGGCCUGGGCUACACACGUGCUACAAUGGCGCAACAAAGGGAAGCGACCCCGCGAGGGUAAGCCAACCCCAAAAAUAGCGUCCCAGUUCGGACUGCAGUCUGCAACCCGACUGCACGAAGCCGGAAUCGCUAGUAAUCGCAGAUCAGAAUGCUGCGGUGAAUACGUUCCCGGGUCU
rnacentral:rRNA from 1 species